rnacentral:rRNA from 1 species
GACGAACGCUGGCGGCGUGCUUAACACAUGCAAGUCGAACGGUGAAAGAGGAGCUUGCUCCUCUGGAUCAGUGGCGAACGGGUGAGUAACACGUGAGUAACCUGCCCUUGACUCUGGGAUAACCUCGGGAAACCGAAGCUAAUACCGGAUACGACCCUCGGAGGCAUCUCCAGGGGGUGGAAAGAACUUCGGUCAAGGAUGGACUCGCGGCCUAUCAGGUAGUUGGUGAGGUAACGGCUCACCAAGCCGACGACGGGUAGCCGGCCUGAGAGGGUGACCGGCCACACUGGGACUGAGACACGGCCCAGACUCCUACGGGAGGCAGCAGUGGGGAAUAUUGCACAAUGGGCGCAAGCCUGAUGCAGCAACGCCGCGUGAGGGACGACGGCCUUCGGGUUGUAAACCUCUUUUAGUAGGGAAGAAGCGAAAG